rnacentral:siRNA from 1 species
CCAGAUCUGGUUGACAGCCUC